AGCAGGCCAGUUUGGGGGGGUGGAGGAGAGUGUCUGUUUGGUGGGGGGGGGGUAGGCAGGCAAGCAAGGUCUUCACUGCUGCCCUCACUUAACAGAGGGGGAUCCUUGUCAACGUCAGACCCUGGAAUGAUUUUCCAAAGAGGGCCGUGGCAGGCUUGCUGUUGUCAGAAGCUGAUGACCUUUCUCCAGUGCUGAGAGGAAGCACCAGGAGUCAUGGCGAGGAUGGUCGAGAAACACUUUAGGCCCGCAAAAAACACAAAAACACACCUCGUAUUAAACACGAUUUCUUUUCCCCCCA